rnacentral:rRNA from 1 species
UACGUAGGGGCCUAGCGUUGUCCGGAUUUAUUGGGCGUAAAGAGCUCGUAGGCGGCUUGUUGCGUCAGCUGUGAAAACCCGCAGCUCAACUGUGGGCUUGCAGCUGAUACGGGCAGGCUUGAGUUCGGUAGGGGAGACUGGAAUUCCUGGUGUAGCGGUGAAAUGCGCAGAUAUCAGGAGGAACACCGGUGGCGAAGGCGGCCUUCUGGUCCAGUACUGACACUCAAGUGCGAAAGCGUGGGGAGCAAACAGG